ACACGUAGGAGGCAAGCGUUAUCCGGAUUUACUGGGCGUAAAGCGCGUGCAGGCGGUCUGGUAAGUUGGACGUGAAAGCUCCCGGCUCAACUGGGAGAGGUCGUUCAAAACUGCCGGACUAGAGGACGGUAGAGGGAGGUGGAAUUCCCGGUGUAGUGGUGAAAUGCGUAGAUAUCGGGAGGAACACCAGUGGCGAAGGCGGCCUCCUGGGCCGUUCCUGACGCUAAGACGCGAAAGCGUGGGGAGCGAACGGGAGUAGAAACCCUAGUAGUCC
rnacentral:rRNA from 1 species